rnacentral:rRNA from 1 species
UGAGUUUGAUCCUGGCUCAGGACGAACGCUGACGGCGUGCUUAACACAUGCAAGUCGAACGAUGAACCACUUCGGUGGGGAUUAGUGGCGAACGGGUGAGUAACACGUGGGCAAUCUGCCCUGCACUCUGGGACAAGCCCUGGAAACGGGGUCUAAUACCGGAUAUUGACCUUCACGGGCAUCUGUGAGGUUCGAAAGCUCCGGCGGUGCAGGAUGACCCGCGGCCUAUCAGCUUGUUGGUGAGGUAAUGGCUCACCAAGGCGACGACCGGUAGCCGGCCUGAGAGGGCGACCGGCCACACUGGGACUGAGACACGGCCCACACUCCUACGGGAGGCAGCAGUGGGGAAUAUUGCACAAUGGGCGAAAGCCUGAUGCAGCGACGCCGCGUGAGGGAUGACGGCCUUCGGGUUGUAAACCUCUUUCAGCAGGGAAGAAGCGAAAGUGACGGUACCUGCAGAAGAAGCGCCGGCUAACUACGUGCCAGCAGCCGCGGUAAUACGUAGGGCGCAAGCGUUGUCCGGAAUUAUUGGGCGUAAAGAGCUCGUAGGCGGCUUGUCACGUCGGUUGUGAAAGCCCGGGGCUUAACCCCGGGUCUGCAGUCGAUACGGGCAGGCUAGAGUUCGGUAGGGGAGAUCGGAAUUCCUGGUGUAGCGGUGAAAUGCGCAGAUAUCAGGAGGAACACCGGUGGCGAAGGCGGAUCUCUGGGCCGAUACUGACGCUGAGGAGCGAAAGCGUGGGGAGCGAACAGGAUUAGAUACCCUGGUAGUCCACGCCGUAAACGGUGGGCACUAGGUGUGGGCAACAUUCCACGUUGUCCGUGCCGCAGCUAACGCAUUAAGUGCCCCGCCUGGGGAGUACGGCCGCAAGGCUAAAACUCAAAGGAAUUGACGGGGGCCCGCACAAGCGGCGGAGCAUGUGGCUUAAUUCGACGCAACGCGAAGAACCUUACCAAGGCUUGACAUACACCGGAAACGGCCAGAGAUGGUCGCCCCCUUGUGGUCGGUGUACAGGUGGUGCAUGGCUGUCGUCAGCUCGUGUCGUGAGAUGUUGGGUUAAGUCCCGCAACGAGCGCAACCCUUGUCCCGUGUUGCCAGCAAGCCCCUUCGGGGGUGUUGGGGACUCACGGGAGACCGCCGGGGUCAACUCGGAGGAAGGUGGGGACGACGUCAAGUCAUCAUGCCCCUUAUGUCUUGGGCUGCACACGUGCUACAAUGGCCGGUACAAUGAGCUGCGAUACCGCAAGGUGGAGCGAAUCUCAAAAAGCCGGUCUCAGUUCGGAUUGGGGUCUGCAACUCGACCCCAUGAAGUCGGAGUCGCUAGUAAUCGCAGAUCAGCAUUGCUGCGGUGAAUACGUUCCCGGGCCUUGGACACACCGA